CAGUCGCCGCGGUAAAACGGAGGGGGCUAGCGUUGUUCGGAAUUACUGGGCGUAAAGCGCACGUAGGCGGCUUUGUAAGUUAGAGGUGAAAGCCCGGAGCUCAACUCCGGAAUUGCCUUUAAGACUGCAGAGCUAGCAGGUGAGAGAGGUGAGUGGAAUUCCGAGUGUAGAGGUGAAAUUCGUAGAUAUUCGGAAGAACACCAGUGGCGAAGGCGGCUCACUGGCUCAUACUGGACGCUGAGGUGCGAAAGCGUGGGGAGCAAACAGGAUUAGAUACCCCAGUAGUCCCUGUCUCUUAACA
rnacentral:rRNA from 1 species